GGUGAGUAACGCGUAGGAACGUGUCUUGGGGUGGGGGAUAACGCUGGGAAACUGGCGCUAAUACCGCAUGUCUGCUGCGGCAGAAAGCCUUCGGUGCCUUGAGAGCGGCCUGCGUCCGAUUAGCUUGUUGGUGGGGUAAAGGCUUACCAAGGCUUCGAUCGGUAGCUGGUCUGAGAGGACGAUCAGCCACACUGGGACUGAGACACGGCCCAGACUCCUACGGGAGGCAGCAGUGGGGAAUAUUGGACAAUGGGCGCAAGCCUGAUCCAGCAAUUCCGCGUGGGUGAAGAAGGUCUUCGGAUUGUAAAGCCCUUUCGACAGGGACGAUGAUGACGGUACCUGUAGAAGAAGCCCCGUAACUUCGUGCCAGCAGCCGCGGUAAUACGAAGGGGGCUAGCGUUGCUCGGAAUUACUGGGCGUAAAGGGCGCGUAGGCGGCGCUGUUAGUCAGGCGUGAAAUUCCUGGGCUCAACCUGGGGACUGCGCUUGAUACGGCAGUGCUUGAGGAUGGAAGAGGCUCGCGGAAUUCCCAGUGUAGAGGUGAAAUUCGUAGAUAUUGGGAAGAACACCGGUGGCGAAGGCGGCGAGCUGGUCCAUUACUGACGCUGAGGCGCGACAGCGUGGGGAGCAAACAG
rnacentral:rRNA from 1 species